rnacentral:other from 1 species
GAACUUCUGCCCUGUUCGUGAUAUCAGGUCAAUUUGAGCCGUAUAUUGUAAAAAGGGAUAGGUCACUGUUAACGGUGUGCAGGCCCAUGAAGCUUUCGCUUUAUUAUGGGAAGCCUAAAGUUAUUAAUUACUUUUCCCACCUGGACAUCCAGGUUCAAUAUUCCUUUUACACGGCAGGGUGGUUUUUUU